AGGAAUAUUGGUCAAUGGGCGCAGGCCUGAACCAGCCAAGUAGCGUGAAGGAUGACUGCCCUAUGGGUUGUAAACUUCUUUUAUAAAGGAAUAAAGUCGGGUAUGUAUACCCGUUUGCAUGUACUUUAUGAAUAAGGAUCGGCUAACUCCGUGCCAGCAGCCGCGGUAAUACGGAGGAUCCGAGCGUUAUCCGGAUUUAUUGGGUUUAAAGGGAGCGUAGAUGGAUGUUUAAGUCAGUUGUGAAAGUUUGCGGCUCAACCGUAAAAUUGCAGUUGAUACUGGAUAUCUUGAGUGCAGUUGAGGCAGGCGGAAUUCGUGGUGUAGCGGUGAAAUGCUUAGAUAUCACGAAGAACUCCGAUUGCGAAGGCAGCCUGCUAAGCUGCAACUGACAUUGAGGCUCGAAAGUGUGGGUAUCAAACAGGAUUAGAUACCCUGGUAGUCCACACGGUAAACGAUGAAUACUCGCUGUUUGCGAUAUACUGCAAGCGGCCAAGCGAAAGCGUUAAGUAUUCCACCUGGGGAGUACGCCGGCAACGGUGAAACUCAAAGGAAUUGACGGGGGCCCGCACAAGCGGAGGAACAUGUGGUUUAAUUCGAUGAUACGCGAGGAACCUUACCCGGGCUUAAAUUGCAAAUGAAUUACGGUGAAAGCCGUAAGCCGCAAGGCAUCUGUGAAGGUGCUGCAUGGUUGUCGUCAGCUCGUGCCGUGAGGUGUCGGCUUAAGUGCCAUAACGAGCGCAACCCUUGUUGUCAGUUACUAACAGGUUCCGCUGAGGACUCUGACAAGACUGCCAUCGUAAGAUGUGAGGAAGGUGGGGAUGACGUCAAAUCAGCACGGCCCUUACGUCCGGGGCUACACACGUGUUACAAUGGGGGGUACAGAGGGCCGCUACCACGCGAGUGGAUGCCAAUCCCCAAAACCUCUCUCAGUUCGGACUGGAGUCUGCAACCCGACUCCACGAAGCUGGAUUCGCUAGUAAUCGCGCAUCAGCCACGGCGCGGUGAAUACGUUCCCG
rnacentral:rRNA from 1 species